CCUAGAGCCUGUGCUCUGCAACAAAAGAAACCACUGCAACGAGAAGCCUGCCAACCACAACUAGAGAGAAGCCUUCACUCUCCGCAACAGGAGAAAGCCCACGGGCAGCAACGAGGACCCAGAGAAGUCAAAAGAAAUGGAGGCCCUAGAAGGAGAAAUGACCUGCCCAAGUUCACACUUCCUUGGUGGCUCAGAUGGUAAAGAAUCUGCCUGCAAUGUGGGAGACCUGGUUUUGAUUCCUGGAUUGGGAAGAUCCCCUGGAGGUAGGGCAUGGCAACCCACUCCUGCAUGCUUUCUUGGAGACUCUGCAUGGACUGAGGAGCCUGGCGGGCUACAGUGCAUGGGGUCGCAAAGAGUCGGACACAACUGAGCGACUAAGCGCAAGUUCAUGUAACUGGUGAAGAAACUGAGGCCCUAAGGACUUUUCAAAGUCAAGAGCAGAACAAAACCUGGGAUCUCAGUCUGGAACUCCAGUGCCUCUGAUCCCAAUGAGCAAGCAUGUGCAUCACCAUCCCCUGACCCUGUUACAAAGGACAUUCUCAAAGGAUUCAGGGGCAACUGCUAGGAUUAAAAAAAAAAUAGUACAAGUAUCAUGUAUUAGAGGCAAAUUCUAUAAAGCACAUUAUUGAGACAACUUCUGAAAUCUGAUUAUCAAUAAUAGUAUUUAAUAAAUGUUACAUUUCCUAAUUUGAUAAAUCCUGUGGUUAUAUAAGAAAAUGACAUUUUUCUUAGGAGAUACUCCCCGAAGUAUUUAGCAGUAAAGUGGCACAUGGUGGAUGGAGCUUAUUCUUGAAUGGUCAGAAAAAACACAUGUUUUAGAGAGAAAGAAAUGAAACAAAUUUGGCAAAAUAUUAACAAUUGGUGAAUCUGGGAGGAGGUUAUACAGGCAUUCUUCCUAGGAGUCUUGCGACUCUUCUGUAAGUUGACAUUCUUUCAAAAGGCUCAAAAAUAUUUCAAAAGUAGAUAUUCUGUAUAUUUAUUCUGGUCCGGGGAGCAAAAGUUCUUUAUGACUCCAUCUAGACUGGGCCUGCUCGGAAGGGGAAGGUGACAAGCCCCUACUUAGCACCGUUUGCAGGACAAGAGUUUCCAUGAGACAGAAUGCUGAGUCACUGAGUCAGCCAGGCUCUCCAUUCACGUCAGAAUCAAUUGGAAACAGCAGAGGCAGAGCAGAAGCAGCUGAGUUAGUUUUUAGGCACAAGCCCUGGGACCUGACAAGCUUACAGUCCUCACUUUGCGGCUUACUGAGGACAAGGAACUCAACUUCUCUGCAUCUCAGCGUGUCCAGUAAAUGUUGCUAAGAAUAUCUACUUCACAGAGUGAUAGUAAGCAUUAGAUUACACAGUGCAUAAAAACCUCUAAGUAAAGUGAAGUGAAAGUUGCUCAGUGUCCGACUCUUUGUGACCCAUGGACUAUACAGUCCCUGGAAUUCUCCAGGCCAGAAUACUGGA